GGGGAUGUGGCUCAGUGGCAGAGCAUCUUCUUAGCAUGCAGAAGGUCCCAGGUUCAACCCCUGGCCUCCCCA